GAAGUCCACUAGGGGUGCCGUAAUGGCUGAGAUAAGAGCUUUCUUAAUCCCUUUGAACCUGAUCUGGUUUAUACCAGCGUAGGAAAGUGGCAGCAGCGUUUU
rnacentral:ncRNA from 2 species